AUUUGUUCGCGGCCCAGAGACGACCUAACUGAUCUCAAACUCUAAUCUUUCGUGGUGAACGCGUCUAUGUUCUUCGUUUAUCUCCGAUCGGCAGCGUCGGUGGCGAUGCAGUUUCAUUGUCAUAUUCAUCUCGAUAUUUAUCUAUCGUUGGUCAUAUUCCGUCGGCGACGCAGUCAAGAAACGUAGGUCGUUACCACUCUUCCUGCGACGGCGACCGAUGGCGUUUGAGCUACUUUUGACCAUCUGAAAUGGCCUGAGUAAAGGCUCUGUGUUUAGCCUCAUUGAUUCAUUCCCCCACUAUGUCGUCUUCAAUGCGUAUAUCGAUCUGAAAGACGGUGGUUCCAAUAUUAGUGUUCUGAUACGAAGCUGGAGAAACGCAGGAGACCAAUGCUCUAAAACUGGUGUUUUGUCUGAUGAAUUCAGGUCUUCUGAUCAUGUCUAUUUUUCUUUUUGUUAACUCAAUUGCCUGUUCUGAUUAACUUAAAUGUUUCAGUUAUUCAAAAUGUUUUAUACUCUCCAAACUCGGAUGACUGGUGUUUUUAAACGUUCUGAAACCAACAAUGGAUUCUCGACACAUUGUGUGUCUAAACUCCAUCAACCACGAUCUGACAGUUAUGAUGAAGGAUUCAUCUUCAUCUUAUGAUCAGAAGGAUAAAAUUCUUGACGAUAAGAUUCAAGGAGAAGAAGCUUCAGAACCUUGCCCUACUGGAAAGAGAAGAAAAGAAACUGAAAGAUCAAGAUCUGCUCUUCCACCAAAACCAAGGAAAUUAGUUGCACAUAAGCUUAAGUUACAGUAGAAGGGAAGGCGUUAUCGGAAGCUCAAGGGCUUUUCUUUAUAGAGACAUCGGCUCUGGACUCAUCAAACGUGGCAGCUGCGUUCGAGACGGUUGCGAAGGAGAUUUACAACAUAAUGAGCAGGAAAGUGAUGAGCUCACAGAACAUAAGCAAGCAAGAUCCUGCCUCGUUCAGCAAUGGCAAGAAAGUUGUGAUUCCAUCUGAGGCACAGGGCGAGUCCAAGAAUGGAGGGUGUUGUUCUACGUAAUUAGAAACUGUUUGAUUUUUUCUUUGUCCAUCCUGCUGCUGCCAUGAAUGUUGAAAUCUGAGCUGCUUUGUGUUGUGGUGUGGAAGUGUUUAGGUGUAGCAAUCUGUAAAUUUUCCAUUGCAGAAGCUUUAUGUACAUUUUCCAUUGCAGGUUGUUUGUUACUUAAUGAAACUUCAGGGACACACACAUAUUUCAAUAAAGAGACUAAUGUAGGAGAGGUCCUCUUUUACAAGUUGGUUUUCACAGACAUGGACUUCUAUCAGCAGCUCCACUUCUGAAAAAGGAAAUGUCAAGGUUGAGAGCUUGAUUUAGUGCUGUGUCAUCAAAUUUACUUUAGCAUCAAUGUUGGUUUUUAAUAUUAAGGAUGUGGUGUUUGCAUCUGUUUUUUUUAAGCUUUCUUAACCAUCUGCAUUUUCUGAAUUUUUUUGUAAAAUUCUGUUUGGUUUUACGGUUUGUACGAUUUGUUUAAGUUAA